GACGAACGCUGGCGGCGUGCCUAAUACAUGCAAGUCGAACGCAGUGGGGACGGGUGAGUAACACGUGGGUAACCUCCCAUCAGAGGGGAUAACACUUGGAAACAGGUGCUAAACUGAUACUGAUGGUUGGACCCGCGGUGCAUUAGCUAUUUGGUGAGGUAACGGCCCACCAAGGCCACGAUGUAUAGCCGACCUGGAGGGGUGAUCGGCAACACUGGGACUGAGACACGGCCCAGCCUCCUACGGAAGGCGGCAGUAGGGAAUCUUCGGCAAUGGACGAAAGUCGGACCGGGCAACGCCGCGUGGGUGAAGAAGGUUUUCGGAUCGUAAAACUCUGUUGUUAGGGAAGCGGUAACUAACCAGAAAGCCACGGCUAACUACGUGCCAGCAGCCGCGGUAAUUC
rnacentral:rRNA from 1 species